AGAGUUUGAUCAUGGCUCAGGAUGAACGCUAGCUACAGGCUUAACACAUGCAAGUCGAGGGGAAACGACAUCGAAAGCUUGCUUUUGAUGGGCGUCGACCGGCGCACGGGUGAGUAACGCGUAUCCAACCUGCCCACCACUUGGGGAUAACCUUGCGAAAGUAAGACUAAUACCCAAUGACGUCUCUAGAAGACAUCUGAAGGAGAUUAAAGAUUUAUCGGUGAUGGAUGGGGAUGCGUCUGAUUAGCUUGUUGGCGGGUAACGGCCACAAGGCGACGGUCAGUAGGGGUUCUGAGAGGAAGGUCCCCCANAUUGGAACUGAGACACGGUCCAAACUCCUACGGGAGCA
rnacentral:rRNA from 1 species